AUUGAACGCUGGCGGCAGGCUUAACACAUGCAAGUCGAACGAGUGGCGGACGGGUGAGUAAUGUUUGGGAAUCUACCUUAUGGAGGGGGAUAACUACGGGAAACGGUAGCUAAUACCGCGUACCAUAGGAUGAGCCCAGGUGGGAUUAGGUAGUUGGUGGGGUAAAGGCUCACCAAGCCGACGAUCCCUAGCUGGUCUGAGAGGAUGACCAGCCACACUGGGACUGAGACACGGCCCAGACUCCUACGGGAGGCAGCAGGGGGGAAUGUUGCGCAAUGGGGGCAACCUGACUCAGCCAUGCCGCGUGCAUGAAGAAGGCCUUCGGGUUGUAAAGUUCUUUCGGUAGCGAGGCGUUAACUACAGAAGAAGCACCGGCUAACUCCGUGCCAGCAGCCGCGGUAAUUC
rnacentral:rRNA from 1 species